AGAGGUUGUGGCUGUUGGAGAACAGGAGAGAGGAAUGUUGUUCCCGAAGGUAGGACAAAUCUGAAGUACAAAUGUAUGUGAGCUGUGGCUUUCAAAUGACAAAGAAAAUUGGAGAAUGGUGAGGAAAUCGGUGGUGAGUGUUGAAGUCAGGGCUAGAACCCGGAUCAUUUUCCUUCAAGUCAUGAAUUGUGCCUCCAAACCACACAGAAACACUUCACAGACCCCAAAGGAAACGAUGAGUAGCAGAACUGAUCAUGAGUCUCCUAAGAUUGGGAAGGAAAGGAUUGGAAUUCAUUCAAAAUGAGGUUUUAUGUAUUUAUUAAUGAGAGACCAACAGAGAGAGAGAGGCAGAGACACAGGCAGAAGGAGAAGCAGGCUUCAUGAAGGGAGCCCCAUGUAGAACUCGAUCCCGGGACUCCAGGAUCAGGCCCUGGGCUGAAGGCAGCGCUAAACCGCUGAGCCACCUGGGCUGCCCUCUCAUGUCUUCUUCUCAUGAGGACACCAGCCAUUCGGGAUCAGAGUCCCGUCCCCCACCCCCACAAACCCUCUCUUUUUAAAGAGAAUCACCUUUUUAAAGACACUAUUUCCAUAAAUGGUCACAUUCUGAGGUCCUGGAGAUUAGGACUUCAACACAGGAGUUUGGGGGUAGGCGGACACAAUUCAGCCUAGAACAGAGGUGUAAGCAGACUUAUGUUUGGAGAAGCUUCUCUGGCUCCUGGGUACUGGGUGAAUGAGGGAGGGGACUGAUGGCAAGAGGCCCUGCCCAAGCAUGAGGGGUAGAGCCUAUUCAGGCAGGCUUUCAACCUCCUUUCUGUCUCCUGUUCUGACUUCAUUGCAUUUUCAUGCAGAAUAUUCAAAUGCUAUGGAAAUCUAAACACUGCUGUAUAAGCUAUACUUUUUAAAGUAGUCAAAUGGGACACUAGAAAAUCUUACAUUUGAAGCAGUACUUCCAAGUUUGAGUUUAAAAAAGAAAAACCCAAACAAAAACAAUUCCCUAGUCACCUAAAGGCAAAAGGGAAUUUUUUUUUGGUAGGGGGAAGGAGAGAAUGAUUUUUGUGACUUAAUUAUGAAAACACCAGAUUAAAAAAUGAUUUUAUUUUUAUUUUAUUUAUUUAUGAGAGACACACAGAGAGAGGCAGAGACAUAAGCAGAGGGAGAAGCAGGCUCCCUAUGGGAAGCCUGAUGUAGGACUUGAUCCCAGGACUCUGGGAGCCAAAGACAGAUGCUCAACCCCUGAACGACCCAGGUGCCUCAAAAAUGAUUUUGUGUUAUUGAAUUUUUUGCUGAAACGUCACUUGAAAUAAAAAUAAAAUAACAGA